rnacentral:rRNA from 1 species
UACGUAGGGACCAAGCGUUAUCCGGAAUUAUUGGGCGUAAAGAGCUCGUAGGCGGUUUGUCGCGUCUGCCGUGAAAGUCCGGGGCUCAACUCCGGAUCUGCGGUGGGUACGGGCAGACUAGAGUGAUGUAGGGGAGACUGGAAUUCCUGGUGUAGCGGUGAAAUGCGCAGAUAUCAGGAGGAACACCGAUGGCGAAGGCAGGUCUCUGGGCUGUAACUGACGCUGAGAUGCGAAAGCGUGGGGAGCAAACAGG